CAAUAGCGUAUAUUAAAGUUGUUGCAGUUAAAAAGCUCGUAGUUGGAUUUCGGGGUGGCCUGCCUGGUCCACCGCAAGGUGAGUACUGGUCAGCCGCCCUUCCUCUCGAAAGCCCCGACUGCUCUUCAUUGCAGUGGUCGGGUAGUUCGGGACGUUUACUUUGAAAAAAUUAGAGUGUUCAAGGCAGGCUAUCGCCUGAAUACAUUAGCAUGGAAUAAUGGAAGAGGACCUCGGUCCUAUUUUGCUGGUUUCUAUGGCCGAAGUAAUGAUUAAGAGGGACAGUUGGGGGCAUUCGUAUUUAAUUGUCAGAGGUGAAAUUCUUGGAUUUAUGAAAGACGAACUAGUGCGAAAGCAUUUGCCAAGGAUGUAUUCAUUAA
rnacentral:rRNA from 1 species